UACGUAGGUGGCGAGCGUUGUCCGGAAUCACUGGGUGUAAAGCGCGUGUAGGCGGUCGGCCAAGUCGGCGGUGAAAGCGCCCGGCUCAACUGGGCGAGGUCCGUGGAAACUGGUCGACUGGAGGACGGUAGAGGCGAGUGGAAUUCCCGGUGUAGUGGUGAAAUGCGUAGAGAUCGGGAGGAACACCAGUGGCGUAGGCGGCUCGCUGGGCCGGUCCUGACGCUGAGACGCGAAGGCGUGGGGAGCGAACGGG
rnacentral:rRNA from 1 species